ACGAGUGGCGGACGGGUGAGUAACACGUAGGUAACCUGCCCAGAAGCGGGGGACAACAUUUGGAAACAGAUGCUAAUACCGCAUAACAGCGUUGUUCGCAUGAACAACGCUUAAAAGAUGGCUUCUCGCUAUCACUUCUGGAUGGACCUGCGGUGCAUUAGCUUGUUGGUGGGGUAACGGCCUACCAAGGCGAUGAUGCAUAGCCGAGUUGAGAGACUGAUCGGCCACAAUGGGACUGAGACACGGCCCAUACUCCUACGGGAGGCAGCAGUAGGGAAUCUUCCACAAUGGGCGCAAGCCUGAUGGAGCAACACCGCGUGAGUGAAGAAGGGUUUCGGCUCGUAAAGCUCUGUUGUUAAAGAAGAACACGUAUGAGAGUAACUGUUCAUACGUUGACGGUAUUUAACCAGAAAGUCACGGCUAACUACGUGCCAGCAGCCGCGGUAAUACGUAGGUGGCAAGCGUUAUCCGGAUUUAUUGGGCGUAAAGAGAGUGCAGGCGGUUUUCUAAGUCUGAUGUGAAAGCCUUCGGCUUAACCGGAGAAGUGCAUCGGAAACUGGAUAACUUGAGUGCAGAAGAGGGUAGUGGAACUCCAUGUGUAGCGGUGGAAUGCGUAGAUAUAUGGAAGAACACCAGUGGCGAAGGCGGCUACCUGGUCUGCAACUGACGCUGAGACUCGAAAGCAUGGGUAGCGAACAGGAUUAGAUACCCUGGUAGUCCAUGCCGUAAACGAUGAGUGCUAGGUGUUGGAGGGUUUCCGCCCUUCAGUGCCGGAGCUAACGCAUUAAGCACUCCGCCUGGGGAGUACGACCGCAAGGUUGAAACUCAAAGGAAUUGACGGGGGCCCGCACAAGCGGUGGAGCAUGUGGUUUAAUUCGAAGCUACGCGAAGAACCUUACCAGGUCUUGACAUCUUGCGCCAACCCUAGAGAUAGGGCGUUUCCUUCGGGAACGCAAUGACAGGUGGUGCAUGGUCGUCGUCAGCUCGUGUCGUGAGAUGUUGGGUUAAGUCCCGCAACGAGCGCAACCCUUGUUACUAGUUGCCAGCAUUAAGUUGGGCACUCUAGUGAGACUGCCGGUGACAAACCGGAGGAAGGUGGGGACGACGUCAGAUCAUCAUGCCCCUUAUGACCUGGGCUACACACGUGCUACAAUGGACGGUACAACGAGUCGCGAACUCGCGAGGGCAAGCAAAUCUCUUAAAACCGUUCUCAGUUCGGACUGCAGGCUGCAACUCGCCUGCACGAAGUCGGAAUCGCUAGUAAUCGCGGAUCAGCAUGCCGCGGUGAAUACGUUCCCGGGCCUUGUACA
rnacentral:rRNA from 2 species